rnacentral:rRNA from 1 species
AUGGACGGCGUUGGACUGGGCGACCCGUCGCUCCGCACAGAGGAAGAUACGUGCUACAUCGCCACCUCCUACGACCUCGACCGCGCUCGGCUGGACUGGGAAAGCUCAGCCAUCGUGGCUUGGACGCUCUCUGCACCGUCGGGGGCCGACCGCUCCGACGUUGAAGACGUCUUCUGUAGGAAGUACCGUCUCCGUCCCUCGGAGUUGGUGGUGAGCUCCCACUUCCCCGAGCAGUACAUCGUCAAAUUUUCCUCCGCCGAGCUCCGCGACCGGGUGAUGCGCACCGAAAGAUGCUGCUUCAAGCUUGAUGGGCUCGACGUCCACUUCCGGCCAUGGCGUGCGGUCUCGCACGGCUACAACGCUGACCUCCACUACCGCGCCCAUGUGUUGCUGGACGGCCUGCCGCCGUUCGCUUGGCGCCCGGAAAUCGUGGACCAACUUGUGGGGCGGAACUGCGCGGUGCAACGGUUCGACGACGGCUUCACCACGAUGGAGGUCACCUCAUCGUUCGGUAUGUGGGUCUGGACGCCGUCCCCGCGCCGCAUCGCCAAGGCCAUGUGGUGCACCUUCGUCAACAAAGCGCCUUGCGGCCUCUCUUCAAGGAUUCGCAUCGACGAGGACAGGCCGGACCAGUGGAAGAGGGGCAUGACCUUCCGGGUACUUCUCCACAUCGACCGCAUCGAGGAUUUCAACGGCGCACCGGUGCUUGAUGGUGACGCCCCUAUCUCGGACUUCAGGCCGCGAGUGCACGCCCUCCCGCCUUGCCACCUGGGCACCAUAGAUGGCAUGCCAGUGGAUGCGGGCGCCGGCUCCGUCCUCCCGGCGGCGAUCCCACCUCUCGGUGACCUCCGCCCGCGCGACAAGGACGCUCGCGACCAGAAGGACCUGGGAAGGUUUCAAGCCAGGCGCGGCGACUCUCGACGCUCCCGCUCAAGACCUGCGCCUGAGGGGUCGCGCCGCUCCCGCUCUCGACCCGCGGACGGUACGGAGGCGCGCCGCUCCCGCUCUCGGCCUGCGGACGGUGUGGAGGCGCGCCGCUCCCGUUCGCGGGGCUACGUUGGCCAUGACAACUCCAGACGCUCCCGUUCACGCAGCCGCAAGGAACGCCGCCGCAGCCGAUCCCGCGCUGGACGACGCUGUGAUGAUCGCAGGCCAACCACACGCCAUCCACAUGACGAUGAUGGUGAUGCUGACCGCCAUUCUCCUCGCCACGCUCGGGAUAGGUCGCGCGCAAGAGACUCCGGCCGGCGCGCACCCCUAGACAACCGUCGAUGCAGCCAUGGACAUCAUCGCUCCUCUCGCCACCACAACAGCGAGCGCGGGCACCGCAGCUACAACCAGAAGGACGCGACCCCGGCUGUAGCCACGCCCCCAGCCCUGGCUUCCGUCCUGGUGCAGCUCCAGCAUUCAGUUUCUGCUGCUCCUGAGACCGCGCUGCAUUCCGCCACCAUGAAACCUCUACAGCCG